rnacentral:rRNA from 1 species
GUGCCAGCAGCCGCGGUAAUACGAAGGGGGCUAGCGUUGCUCGGAAUUACUGGGCGUAAAGGGCGCGUAGGCGGACAUUUAAGUCAGGGGUGAAAUCCCAGAGCUCAACUCUGGAACUGCCUUUGAUACUGGAUGUCUUGAGUGUGAGAGAGGUAUGUGGAACUCCGAGUGUAGAGGUGAAAUUCGUAGAUAUUCGGAAGAACACCAGUGGCGAAGGCGACAUACUGGCUCAUUACUGACGCUGAGGCGCGAAAGCGUGGGGAGCAAACAGGAUUAGAAACCCCAGUAGUCC